rnacentral:rRNA from 1 species
AUUGAACGCUGGCGGAAUGCUUUACACAUGCAAGUCGAACGGUAGAGGGGGCAACCCCUCGAGAGUGGCGAACGGGUGAGUAAUAUAUCGGAACGUGCCCAGUCGUGGGGGAUAACGUAGCGAAAGCUGUGCUAAUACCGCAUAAUCCCUUAGGGGGAAAGCGGGGGACCGUAAGGCCUCGCGCAAUUAGAGCGGCCGAUACCUGAUUAGCUAGUUGGUGAGGUAAAGGCUCACCAAGCCGACGAUCCAUAGCUGGUUUGAGAGGAUGAUCAGCCACACUGGGACUGAGACACGGCCCAGACUCCUACGGGAGGCAGCAGUGGGGAAUCUUAGACAAUGGGCGCAAGCCUGAUCUAGCCAUGCCGCGUGAGCGAUGAAGGCCUUAGGGUUGUAAAGCUCUUUCAGUGGGGAAGAUAAUGACUGUACCCACAGAAGAAGCCCCGGCUAACUCCGUG